ensembl:miRNA gga-mir-12294 gga-mir-12294
UCUUCCCUCAGCCAGGCUUGACUACAAGACCUCAAUGAGCCAAGCCUCCCAGGGAAGAAGG